UUUUUUUUUUUGCAGUGCUGGAGAUUGAAUCCUGGGGCUCACACAUGCUGGGAGAGCACUGUACCACUGAGCUACGCCCCCCGCCCUUUUCAUUUUAUUUGGAGGUAAGAUCUGGCUAAGUUGCUCAGGCUGGUCCCUGACUCAGCCUGCUGAGUAGCUGGGAUGACAGGCCUGCACCACCACACCCAGCAGAGAAAGUUGAUUCUUAAAAUUAAAUCAAUUCCUAUGUGGAUUAUUGAGCACCUACUGCGUGCCAGUACCUAUUAUAUGCCAAGCAGUGUGCAAGGUUCUUGGGCUCCAUCAGCAAACAAAGCAGAGCUCUGCUCCUGGAUUCCAGUGUGUCCUUCACCUUCCAUGCAUGAAGCAGCUAUGCAUUGAGCACCUACUGUGUGCAGGCCCAGUGGCGGUGCCAGGAUAGGGCUGUGAACAAGAUUGGCAUGGCCCUAUUCUCGCCAGCUCAUGUCAAGAGUGCUCUGAUUUGUCUAAGAAAGAGACUGGGGACUAGGUGACUCACCCAAGGUCACUGGAACCAGAAUGUGAAGGAGCAGGAUCAACACCCAGAUCUGUCUGCCUUUGGGGCCCCAAUCCUCUGGCACCUGGGGUUCUACCUGUCCUCUUUCCAAGUCUUGGUUUUCCUAUCUGUGCUCUGAGUAACCUUGGAGACCACUCAACAGUGUGGGUCAGGAAGGAACAUGGGACAGUGGAGGUGGGGGCACCGGUGCCCAGGCUCACAGCCCCUCUCAGCCAGGUCAGCUCAGCCUCUGCAGAACUUUCACUGCCUCGGAGUCCGGAGCUGGUUAUUUUUGGCUCCAAAUGACUUUUGCAUCCAUUUAUUUGCUGCAUUUUGAUUUUGCAUUCAAUUUCUGGUCCAUUCAUGGAGUUUGCGCUACCUGGGGGACGCGAAAUUGAGGCAGCCAGGAGUGUGGUUUGGACACGCUUGACAGCUCCCACUCCUUGGAGGGAGGAACGCUUGACUGACUCCACAGUGGAAGGGCUAGGGCUGGCAGCUGCUCACCACCCUGGCUCUAGCCAGAGUCAGCAGAUGGGCCUGCGGAAGCUGGGCUCCUCAAUGCAUGCAGUCCAUCUCCAGAGCCCGUGCCUUAACCUCAGAGCCUGAGAACCCAGCUCAGAGACCAGCUUCUCAGAGCCCCCCACCCUCCUCACCCCAUCCUCACCCCACCCCACCCCUGUUGCCACCCUUUCCUCAUCUGGAGCCCCUGUGUGCUCAGGAAUUUUUGAUGACUGCAUCUCCACUCGGCCUUGAUUUUUGCACACCUGGCUUUGUCAUGAGCUACUGAGGCUCAUCGAGGAGGUAGGUGGCUAUGGGUCCCCAGAGCCCAGCUCAGGGCUUGACAUCAAGGGUAAAUACCAACCAUGAUCAUUCUCCUCAGGCACCCUGCAGAGGUGAUAGAAAGAACAAAUGAGUGAGAGUUGCAAACAGACUUUGGGGUUCUGAGGGCAGGGCGGUGUGAUGACACUGAGAGGUGACAUGACUUGCCUGAGGCUACACAGCAAUGAUCAGCAAGGUCUGCCUGUCUCCCCACCAUAGUGACAGGCAGGGCCUGGUCCCCUGCAGGGCUGGAGGUGAGCCAGGAUGGGCUGCCUCAGUACCUCCAUCCCCAGCCCACAGCCUUGGGGAGCUUGGGGGAGAUGGAGCGUGCCAUCUGGGGAAGGGGCCCCCUGACGGAGCCCAUAUAUCACAGUGGCAGCUGAUACGGAGAGACCAGAGUGAUUUUUCUUCAUGGUUUGCAGACAAAUGAGGUGAACAGAAAAUGGAUGGCAACCUUCAGCCGCAAGAGGCCCAAGGCCCAGGGAGCCAGCUGCAGUCACUCGGGCAGCGGGGAUCACAGGCAACCACCCCAGCCACCCCCACUCCCACUCCAGGCCAGGGUCCCUGGCACAGGGCGGGAAGGGAGGCAGUGAAGCUCAGGAAAGGGGUGGUGGUCGGGGAGCAGGAGGAGGGAGGGUGUGUGGGGGGGCCUCAGCUUCCCCCUGGUUCAGUUAGAGGCCAGAGACUUUGAAGAGAAGCAUUAGAGUUUCAAACAACUGGGAUUUCUGGGCCUCUCCUUGUCGCUGCAGAAUCUUGGGGCAAGACAGAAGCUCUUUAUUCUUGAGCUGAUCUCAAGGGACUGGAGGGUCAAGAAAAUGGACACAACCCUGGCAGAGGCCUCAGCAGCCCCAAAGGUGCAUUUUUCUACUUCAAAACUGUCCUAGAACCUUGAGGCUCAGGCAGUGGAGGUCUUAGACUCUGGAAAGUUUAUUUUCCUAGAAACUCAGGUGCCUCACCCUGAAGGCACUAGGGACCACUCUCCACCCACCGGCCCUGCGAGGAAUGUGACUUCCUUGGUUCUUCAAGAAUGCAAGGGAAUUUCCACUUCCGCCCCUCCCACUCGGCUGUCUGUGCCCCCAUGUUUCCUCCUCUCCGGGCUGGGUUCCAUGGCCGGGGAACACCAGCCGGAGAAUGGGGCUGGAUCAGUGGGCCCCAAAGAACGGCUUUGUUUUCACAAGUAUCAUUCGAAAUGUGGGAUCUUAGAAUCUCAAAACCACAAAACAGCAUCACUUAAUUCUCAUCUCUAAGAGGAUGGAUAAAUAAAGACCCGUGAAGUAAUAAACAGGAUGCACCAGCUAUAGGUAAUUCAUUUGAGCCACCCGUAUCGUCGUGGGUAAAUCUCAAAGCCAUAAUGGUAAGUAGGGGGACAAAAGGCAAAUUAAGAAUUUGGCUGAUUUGGUACCAUAGAUAUAAAUAUCAAGAGCCUACCCACAGUAGGGACACACUCAUGAGCAUGCAUUAAAUAGUAAAUCAUGCCGGGUGGGAAACCCACACACCUACUCCCCCAGAGACUUUCCUUUUUAGAGGGGAGGGAGUUGGAGAGAAGGAGAAAGAACUGUGUGGGAAAGUAGUAUGUGGAGGAGGGCCCAAUUGUCCUGCAACAAUUUGCUUCCUGGAAAAGGUAAUAAGUGAUAAAAGAUGUGUAUGGGUUUUGAAUGCAGCUGUGAUUUAUGUGCGUGGGUUUGAGUCUGUCAGUUGCCUAGGAAGUUUUCUAGGGUGGGCUGAGGCUCACUUCUUUUACCUCCAAUUCCAUUGCUACAAUUUAUGUUGCUUGUAGCUGGGGUCUGUUCCUGCUCACUGCAGGGGAGCUUUGCACUGAGUCAAGAUACCAGAAGAGGCAGAUCCCCAGACCUCUCAGACUCUGCUGGUGGAGUGCAAAUUGAUACAACUACAUGGGAAAUCAGUUUGGCAGGAUCUCAUGAAACCCAGUCGUCUGCAAUUCCACGCCUAAGGUCAAUCCCCAAGAGAAACCCAUACAUACAUACAUAUAUAUCUACACACACACACACCAGCAAACGUGACCGGAAUGCUCAUAACAGCUCUGCCCGCAAUAGCAAAAACCUGGAAAUAACCCAAGAGUGGAUGAAUACAUUUACUUGCUGACAAAAUAAAUUUUUAAAAAGAAAUAAAUGUUAAGAACUGAAGCAGGUCAGGCAUACUUUUAAUAUAAGUUAAAACUGGAGAGAGGGCACAUUGGGCUGAAUUAUAUUAUUCUUUGGGUGUUUGAAGGAACUCAUAAUAAAAAGAGAUGGCAUUUUUUAAAAUCCUGA
rnacentral:lncRNA from 1 species